rnacentral:rRNA from 1 species
GAGUUUGAUCAUGGCUCAGAUUGAACGCUGGCGGUAGGCCUAACACAUGCAAGUCGAACGGCAGCACAGCAGUAGCAAUACUGUGGGUGGCGAGUGGCGGACGGGUGAGGAAUACAUCGGAAUCUACUCUGUCGUGGGGGAUAACGUAGGGAAACUUACGCUAAUACCGCAUACGACCUACGGGUGAAAGUGGGGGACCGCAAGGCCUCACGCGAUUGAAUGAGCCGAUGUCGGAUUAGCUAGUUGGCGGGGUAAAGGCCCACCAAGGCGACGAUCCGUAGCUGGUCUGAGAGGAUGAUCAGCCACACUGGAACUGAGACACGGUCCAGACUCCUACGGGAGGCAGCAGUGA